GAAUUGUUCGCAAUGGGCGAAAGCCUGACGACGCAAUGCCGCGUGGAGGAUGAAGGAUUUCGGUCCGUAAACUCCUUUCGACCGAGAAGAAGAUCCGCCGACCCACUACGUCGGCGGAGUGACAGUAUCGAGGGAAACAGCCCCGGCUAACCCCGUGCCAGAAGCCGCGGUAAUACGGGGGGGGCGGGCGUUGUUCGGAAUUACUGGGCGUAAAGGGUUCGUAGGUGGCUUGCUAAGUCAGACGUGAAAUCCCUCGGCUCAACCGGGGAAUUGCGUCUGAAACUGGCGAGCUUGAGUGCAGGAGAGGAACGCGGAAUUCCAGGUGUAGCGGUGAAAUGCGUAGAUAUCUGGAGGAACACCGGUGGCGAAGGCGGCGUUCUGGACUGCAACUGACACUGAGGAACGAAAGCCAGGGUAGCAAACGGG
rnacentral:rRNA from 1 species